rnacentral:misc_RNA from 1 species
GAUGAAGGAACGCAGCGAAAUGCGAUAAGUAAUGUGAAUUGCAGAAUUCAGUGAAUCAUCGAAUCUUUGAACGCAUCUUGCGCUCCUUGGUAUUCCGAGGAGCAUGCCUGUUUGAGUGUCAUUUAAUUCUCAACCCCUCCAGUUUUCUUGACUGGUUAGGUGGCUUGGAUGUGGGGGAUUAAUCUGCGGGCCUCUUUUAGAGGUCGGCUCCCCUGAAAUGCAUUAGCGGAACCGUUUGCGGGUCUGUCACUGGUGUGAUAAUUAUCUACGCCAAAAGACAUCUGCUCUCUGGGUUAUUUCUGCUUCAAAUUGUCCUUUGUUUUGGACAACGAAUAACUGAAUACUUGACCUCAAAUCAGGUAGGACUAUCCGCUGAACUUAAGCAUAUCAAUAAGCGGAGGA